GUCUACAGCCAUGCUACCCUGAACAAGCCCGAUCCCAUCUGAUCUUGGAAGCUAAGCGGGAUCAGACCUGGUUAGUACUUGGAUGGAAGACCAGGUGCUGUAGGUG
rnacentral:rRNA from 1 species